rnacentral:rRNA from 1 species
UAGAGUUUGAUCCUGGCUCAGGAUAAACGCUGGCGGCGCACAUAAGACAUGCAAGUCGAACGAACUUAAUUCAUUCUUUUAGAUUGAAAGCGGUUAGUGGCGGACUGGUGAGUACAACAUAAGUAACCUGCCUAUAAGAGGGGAACAACAGUUAGAAAUGACUGCUAAUACCGCAUAUGCCAUAUUAAUCACAUGAUUAAAGUGGGAAAGGAGCAAUCCGCUUAUAGAUGGACUUAUGCCUGAUUAGCUAGUUGGUGGGGUAACGGCCUACCAAGGCGACGAUCAGUAGCCGAACUGAGAGGUUAAACGGCCACAUUGGGACUGAGAUACGGCCCAGACUCCUACGGGAGGCAGCAGUCGGGAAUAUUGCGCAAUGGAGGAAACUCUGACGCAGUGACGCCGCGUGCAGGAAGAAGGUUUUCGGAUUGUAAACUGCUUUAGACAGGGAAGAUAAAAGACAGUACCUGUAGAAUAAGCUCCGGCUAACUACGUGCCAGCAGCCGCGGUAAUACGUAGGGAGCAAGCGUUAUCCGGAUUUAUUGGGUGUAAAGGGUGCGUAGACGGGAAAUUAAGUUAGUUGUGAAAUCCCAUGGCUCAACUGUGGAACUGCAACUAAAACUGAUUUUCUUGAGUACUGGAGAGGAAAGUGGAAUUCCUAGUGUAGCGGUGAAAUGCGUAGAUAUUAGGAGGAACACCAGUGGCGAAGGCGACUUUCUGGACAGAAACUGACGUUGAGGCACGAAAGUGUGGGGAGCAAACAGGAUUAGAUACCCUGGUAGUCCACACUGUAAACGAUGGAUACUAUGUGUAGGGUGUGAUAAACGCUCUGUGCCGUCGCAAACGCAAUAAGUAUCCCACCUGGGGAGUACGGGCCGCAAGGUUGAAACUCAAAGGAAUUUGACGGGGGCCCGCACAAGCAGUGGAGUAUGUGGUUUAAUUUCGAAGCAACGCGAAGAACCUUACCAGGGCUUGACAUAUACAGGAAUAUAUAAGAGAUUAUAUAGCUCUUCGGAGUCUGUAUACAGGUGGUGCAUGGUUGUCGUCAGCUCGUGUCGUGAGAUGUUAGGUUAAGUCCUGCAACGAGCGCAACCCCUAUUCUUAGUUGCCAGCAUGUAAAGAUGGGAACUCUAGGAAGACUGCCGGUGAUAAAUCGGAGGAAGGUGGGGACGACGUCAAAUCAUCAUGCCCUUUAUGUCCUGGGCUACACACGUACUACAAUGGCUAUAACAAAGAGAAGCAAAACAGUGAUGUAGAGCAAAACUCAAAAAAGUAGUCUCAGUUCGGAUUGAAGGCUGAAAUUCGCCUUCAUGAAGCCGGAAUUGCUAGUAAUGGCAGGUCAGCAUACUGCCGUGAAUACGUUCCCGGGCCUUGUACACACCGCCCGUCACACCAUGAGAGUUGGGAAUACCCGAAGCCUGUGAGCCAACCGCAAGGAGGCAACAGUCGAAGGUAGAAUCAAUGAUUGGGGUGAAGUCGUAACAAGGUAACCA